rnacentral:misc_RNA from 1 species
GUUGAAGAACGCAGCAAAAUGCGAUAAGUAAUGUGAAUUGCAGAAUUCAGUGAAUCAUCGAAUCUUUGAACGCACAUUGCGCCCGCUGGUAUUCCGGCGGGCAUGCCUGUUCGAGCGUCAUUUCAACCCUCACGCCCCCGGGUUUGGUGUUGGGGAUCGGCUCUGCCCUUCUGGGCGGUGCCGCCCCCGAAAUACAUUGGCGGUCUCGCUGCAGCCUCCAUUGCGUAGUAGCUAACACCUCGCAACUGGAACGCGGCGCGGCCAUGCCGUAAAACCCCAACUUCUGAAUGUUGACCUCGGAUCAGGUAGGAAUACCCGCUGAACUUAAGCAUAUCAAUAAGCGGAGGA